rnacentral:lncRNA from 1 species
AGGGCUGCAAGCAGGGCCGCUCAGUUGGAGCAAGUGAGGGAGCCCAGGCUGCCGUGGCCCUGCCCAUCAAAUACCCAGAAAGAAGGCUUGAGGUAGAGAGGAAUAGGACAGUUCAGUGACGAAGCCCCAGCUCAGCUCACAUUAGACUCUCCAGAGCCCUUCGUGUGCUCUGUCCUAUGUCGGCUUGGCACGGGGAAGGCCUCUUGUCUCUGAAAGUAACUGCUUUGUCCAUUCCAACGAAGACCUGCAUCUUGGUGAUGGGAAAUGACUGGUUCUGUUUUCUUGCAGUCCAACUUUAGCAAGGAAGACGGCGCUUAAAGCAGGGGGCGGAUUCCAGGCUGCACCCAGGUAGGAGUCUCUGCCGAGCUCUGCCAAAGGCAAGUGAGCUGAGCAGAGUGACUAUGUCAACCGGAGAGCAGGGCACCAGCCAACCUUCCCCUCUUCAGCCCUUGUGUGAUGGGGAGCCCCCACUGCCAGUCCUGAGACCUGUACCUCGGAUCUCAGCAAUGAAAAAUCCUACUUGACCUAAAAGUAUAAAUAAAUGUGUGCUAAAUGUU